GUGUAGCGGUGAAAUGCAUAGAUAUCAUACAGAACACCAAUAGCGAAGGCAGGAUGCUAAAUCUUCACUGACGCUGAGGCACGAAAGCGUGGGUAGCAAACAGGAUUAGAUACCCUGGUAGUCCACGCCCUAAACUAUGAUCACUAGCUAUUGGAAAAAUUAUAUUCAGUGGCCAAGCUAAAGCGAUAAGUGAUCCACCUGGGAAGUACGAUCGCAAGAUUGAAACUCAAAGGAAUUGACGGGGUUUCGCACAAGCGGUGGAGCAUGUGGUUUAAUUCGAUGAUACGCGAGGAACCUUACCAAGGUUUAAAUGUAUUACGAAUAAGCUGGAAACAACUUAGUCUAUAAGACGUAAUACAAGGUGCUGCAUGGUUGUCUUCAGUUCGUGCUGUGAAGUGUUUGGUUAAGUCCUAUAACGAGCGCAACCCUUAUUGUUAGUUGCCAUCGGGUAAAGCCGGGGACUCUAACAAAACUGCCGGUGUAAAUCGAGAGGAAGGUGGGGAUAAUGUCAAAUCAUCAUGGCCUUUAUGCCUUGGGCUACACACGUGCUACAAUGGCUGGUACAAAGGGCAGCCACUGGGUGACCAGGAGCUAAUCUCUAAAACCAGUCUAAGUUCUGAUUGAAGUCUGCAAUUCGACUUUAUGAAGAUGGAAUCGCUAGUAA
rnacentral:rRNA from 1 species